AUGCAGUGGAUCCGCCAGAGACCCGGGCAGGGCUUGGAGUUGCUCGCAGGGAUCAGUGACAAUGGUGGCACCACCAACUAUGUGCUAUCGGUCAAGGGGCUCCAGGCGGCCGUGAUCCUUCUGGAGUUCGGGGGAGGCCUCCAGCCCCCCGGGGCGUCCAUGCGUGUCCUCUGCCGAGGACCGGAUUUGAUUUCGGGAGCAAUGGAAUGUUCUGGAUUUGGGGAUGGGCUCCGGGCGGCCGUGACCCUGCUGGAGUGCGGGGGAGACCUCCAGCCCCCCGGGGAGCCCCUGCGCCUCCUCUGCCGAGGGUCCGGGUUCAGUUUCGGGAAUUUUGGGCUGGGAUGGAUCCGCCAGAGACCCGGGCAGGGGCUGGAGUGGCUCGCGGGGAUCACCAACACUGGUGGAAACAUCGGCUACGCGCCAUCGGUCAAGGGCCGGUUCACGAUCUCCAGGGACAACGGGCAGAGCUCGGUGACGCUGACCAUGAACAACCUCAAGGACGAGGAUUCCGGAUCCUAUUUCUGUGCCAGGAAACCCGGGCAGGGGCUGGAAUAUGUCGCAAGGAUCCACAGCAGUGGUGCUUACGCCGACUACGCGCCAUCGGGCUCCGGGCGGCCGUGA